UUUACAACUCCCAAACCCCUGUGAACAUACCACUUGUUGCCUCGGCGGAUCAGCCCGCUCCCGGUAAAACGGGACGGCCCGCCAGAGGACCCCUAAACUCUGUUUCUAUAUGUAACUUCUGAGUAAAACCAUAAAUAAAUCAAAACUUUCAACAACGGAUCUCUUGGUUCUGGCAUCGAUGAAGAACGCAGCAAAAUGCGAUAAGUAAUGUGAAUUGCAGAAUUCAGUGAAUCAUCGAAUCUUUGAACGCACAUUGCGCCCGCCAGUAUUCUGGCGGGCAUGCCUGUUCGAGCGUCAUUUCAACCCUCAAGCACAGCUUGGUGUUGGGACUCGCGUUAAUUCGCGUUCCUCAAAUUGAUUGGCGGUCACGUCGAGCUUCCAUAGCGUAGUAGUAAAACCCUCGUUACUGGUAAUCGUCGCGGCCACGCCGUUAAACCCCAACUUCUGAAUGUUGACCUCGGAUCAGGUAGGAAUACCCGCUGAACUUAAGCAUAUCAAUAAGCGGGAGG
rnacentral:rRNA from 1 species